ACGGGUGAGUAAUGCUUAUCUUACCUGCCGUUUAGUGGGGGAUAACCAAAAGAAAUUUUGGCUAAUACCGCAUAUUCUGGUUUCGGCCAGGAAAGGAUUUCAUUCGCUAAACGAUGGGGAUAAGUCGUAUUAGUUUGUUGGUGGGGUAAUAGCCUACCAAGACGAUGAUGCGUAGCCAGGCUGAGAGGCUGAUUGGCCACAAGGGAACUGAGACACGGUCCCUACUCCUACGGGAGGCAGCAGUUAGGAAUAUUCCGCAAUGGGCGAAAGCCUGACGGAGCGAUGCCACGUGAAGGAUGAAGGUCUAUGGAUUGUAAACUUCUAUGUAUAUGUAGAAAUAUGUAUACUGAAAAAGUCACGACUAACUAUGUGCCAGCAGUCGCGGUAAGACAUAGGUGGCGAACGUUAUCCGGAUUUAUUGGGCGUAAAGGAUGCGUAGAUGGUAGGAUAAGUUAUUGGUCGAAGCCAGGCUCAACCUGACGGAAGCUGAUAAUACUGUUCUGCUUAGAGGAGAGGAGAGGUUAGUGGAAUUCUGUGUGGAGCGGUGAAAUGCGUUGAUCUACAGAGGAACACCAAAGAAGGCGAAGGCAACUAACUAUUCUUUCUUGACAUUGAGGCAUGAAAGCGUGGGGAGCAAACCGGAUUAGAUACCCGGGUAGUCCACGCCCUAAACGAUGAGCAUUAGACAUUGGGCGUGUGCUCAGUGUCGCAGCUAACGCUUUAAAUGCUCCGCCUGGGUAGUACGGCCGCAAGGCUGAAACUCAAAGGAAUUGACGGGGACCCGCACAAGCGCUGGAGCAUGUGGUUUAAUCCGAUACUACGCGUAAAACCUUACCAAGGCUUGACAUGUUUGGCAAAACUAGGGAAACCUAGCAGAGGUUAUCCAGACACAGGUGUCUGCAUGGCCGUCGUCAGUUCGUGCUGUGAAGUGUACGCUUAAGUGCUAGAACGAACGCAACCCUCAUACUUAGUUACUACACUUAAUAGUGAGAAUUCUAAGUAGACUGCCAAGGCAACUUGGAGGAAGGAGAGGAUGACGUCUGGUCGUC
rnacentral:rRNA from 1 species